GGGAGACUAGGAGAAAGCUGCCAGAGGCUGCUGGCAAGAGAUAUCCACUGGUUCUAGACCUGGCGGAGAGCGCUAUUGUAGGUGAGCCGGCGUGGUUCUCUCUCAGGAAAGCACCAGAGAGGCCUGGCUCUGGGGAAGUUGGAGGUUUUACUCCCUGGCAUCAUCUGCAGUCGAGAGUGAUCUGGCAGAUACUAUCUCUCCCAACCAACUUGGCAAGGCUCUGGUCCUGUGUGAGGAGGCAAGGAGUUCUCUUGGAUGAGGCGAGACGCAAGCACAAGUCAUGACGUGGGUCUUCAAGGGGCCCGACUUGGUGGGCAGAGCGCUGCAUUGGCCUUUGGCGUUCCCCGUAGUCCUCUGCAGGGGACUCUGCAGUAGCCCAUGAGGUUACAGGGCUGAUGCGAGGCUUGUGCUCUGGUAAUGAUUGAUCAUUUUGUAGGCUGCA
rnacentral:lncRNA from 10 species